rnacentral:rRNA from 1 species
GGAUCAAUACGUCGGUCGUGCUUCGGUACGUACUGGCGUCAUUGAUUUCUCCCUUCUGACGAACCAUGAUGUCAUUAACUUGGUGUCAUGGGAAAUCAGGACUGGUUUUACUUUGAAAAAUUAGAACGUUUAAAGCAGGCGAUCGCCUUGAAUACAUUAGCAUGGAAUAAUGAAAUAGGACGUUCGACCCUAUUUUGUUGGUUUCUAGGAUCGACGUAAUGA